CCAAUAGCGUAUAUUAAAGUUGUUGCAGUUAAAAAGCUCGUAGUUGAACCUCGGGGUCUACCCAUUGGUCAGGCUUAAUUGUCUGCACUGGUGAGAUGGAUCUCUACCUUCUGAGGAACUUUCAUGCCAUUUAUUUGGUGUGAUGGGAAAUCAGGACUGUUACUUUGAAAAAAUUAGAGUGUUUAAAGCAGACUAUCGUCUGAAUACAUUAGCAUGGAAUAAUGAAAUAGGACGGACUGAUUCUAUUUCGUUGGUUUCUAGGAUCACCGUAAUGAUUAAUAGGGAUAGUUGGGGGCAUUAGUAUUCAAUUGUCAGAGGUGAAAUUCUUGGAUUUAUUGAAGACUAACUACUGCGAAAGCAUUUGCCAAGGAUGUUUUCAUUAAUCAAGAACGAAAGUUAGGGGAUCGAAGACGAUCAGAUACCGUCGUAGUCUUAACCAUAAACUAUGCCGACUAGGGAUCGGACGAAGUUAAUUUUAUAAUGACGCGUUCGGCACCUUACG
rnacentral:ncRNA from 2 species